rnacentral:rRNA from 1 species
AGAACGAACGCUGGCGGCAUGCCUAAUACAUGCAAGUCGAACGAACUCUUCGGAGUUAGUGGCGCACGGGUGCGUAACGCGUGGGAAUCUGCCCCUUGGUUCGGAAUAACAGUUGGAAACGACUGCUAAUACCGGAUGAUGACGAAAGUCCAAAGAUUUAUCGCCAAGGGAUGAGCCCGCGUAGGAUUAGCUAGUUGGUGAGGUAAAGGCUCACCAAGGCAACGAUCCUUAGCUGGUCUGAGAGGAUGAUCAGCCACACUGGGACUGAGACACGGCCCAGACUCCGUACGGGAGGCAGCAGUAGGGAAUA